GAUGAACGCUGGCGGCGUGCCUAAUACAUGCAAGUCGAGCGAACAGACGAGGAGCUUGCUCCUCUGACGUUAGCGGCGGACGGGUGAGUAACACGUGGAUAACCUACCUAUAAGACUGGGAUAACUUCGGGAAACCGGAGCUAAUACCGGAUAAUAUAUUGAACCGCAUGGUUCAAUAGUGAAAGACGGUUUUGCUGUCACUUAUAGAUGGAUCCGCGCCGCAUUAGCUAGUUGGUAAGGUAACGGCUUACCAAGGCGACGAUGCGUAGCCGACCUGAGAGGGUGAUCGGCCGCACUGGAACUGGGACACGGUCCAGACUCCUACGAGAGGCAGCAGUAGGGAAUCUUCCGCAAUGGGCGAAAGCCUGACGGAGCAACGCCGCGUGAGUGAUGAAGGUCUUCGGAUCGUAAAACUCUGUUAUUAGGGAAGAACAAAUGUGUAAGUAACUAUGCACGUCUUGACGGUACCUAAUCAGAAAGCCACGGCUAACUACGUG
rnacentral:rRNA from 1 species